UGGAGUGUAGCUCAACUGGCAGAGCGACGGUUUCUGACACCGUAGGUUUCUAGUUCGAUCCUAGACAUUCCAGCCA
rnacentral:tRNA from 10 species